UUGUACUUUCUUUGAAUUCAGUUGUAUUAAAAUGGAAAUGAUACAGAAAAGGUUAGCAUGGCUCUGUACAAAGGUGGUAUAAAAUUUUAUGAAGAGUACUAAAUUUUC
ensembl:snRNA U6 U6 spliceosomal RNA